rnacentral:rRNA from 1 species
CCUACGGGUGGCUGCAGUGGGGAAUAUUGCACAAUGGGCGCAAGCCUGAUGCAGCCAUGCCGCGUGUGUGAAGAAGGCCUUCGGGUUGUAAAGCACUUUCAGCGGGGAGGAAGGCGGUGAGGUUAAUAACCUCAUCGAUUGACGUUACCCGCAGAAGAAGCACCGGCUAACUCCGUGCCAGCAGCCGCGGUAAUACGGAGGGUGCAAGCGUUAAUCGGAAUUACUGGGCGUAAAGCGCACGCAGGCGGUCUGUCAAGUCGGAUGUGAAAUCCGCGGGCUCAACCUGGGAACUGCAUUCGAAACUGGCAGGCUAGAGUCUUGUAGAGGGGGGUAGAAUUCCAGGUGUAGCGGUGAAAUGCGUAGAGAUCUGGAGGAAUACCGGUGGCGAAGGCGGCCCCCUGGACAAAGACUGACGCUCAGGUGCGAAAGCGUGGGGAGCAAACAGGAUUAGAUACCCGAGUAGUC